CCAGGGGCUCGUCUGUGGUGAAGGUCCCUCUAGUGACCAGAGCCCCUCUCAGAGUGCAGAACAGUGAGCUUUAUGAACAUCAAAACGUCACCCCUCCCCCCAGACAGCAGGAGGACUCUUGCUGUCCUUUCUAAGAGAAAGGGAAGUUAUUUCUGGAAUUUGGCAGCUGCUCCCAUUCCAAAUGGCUGAGUGUUGACAUCAUCAAACGUGUACCGUCCAAGUCAGAACUUCCUCUUUUUGCAAACGGCCCGGAACUACCUGUAGAGACGCAGACACAUCAGAAGAGAGGCGGCUGCGAUGGGAACACGCAGCCUGGCUCGGAGCCCUCUCGGCGCCACAUUUCGGUGUUCGCCUCACGCCUUCUCCAUUGAUGCCUGAGCCUCGUGCACCUUGCUGUGAAACUCAGACACUGCUCAUCUACAUGGGGAGAAAGCUUUUAGCUCCGUGUGUGGCACGUAGGAAAGGCUUAUUAUAUGUUAUCUGUGCUGAUGAUGGUGAAGAAGAGAAGGCUGCAGAUGAAGACAAAGAUAAAGAUGAAGGAGGAGGAAAAGGAGGGAUACAGGAGGAGAGAAGA